GACGAACGCUGGCGGCGUGCUUAACACAUGCAAGUCGAACGGAAAGGCCCUGCUUUUGUGGGGUGCUCGAGUGGCGAACGGGUGAGUAACACGUGAGUAACCUGCCCUUGACUGUGGGAUAACUUCAGGAAACUGUGGCUAAUACCGGAUAGGAGCUCCUGCUGCAUGGGGGGGGUUGGAAAGUUUCGGCGGUUGGGGAUGGACUCGCGGCUUAUCAGCUUGUUGGUGGGGUAGUGGCUUACCAAGGCUUUGACGGGUAGCCGGCCUGGGAGGGUGACCGGCCACAUUGGGACUGGGAUACGGCCCAGACUCCUACGGGGGGCAGCAGUGGGGAAUAUGGCACAAUGGGCGGAAGCCUGAUGCAGCAACGCCGCGUGCGGGAUGACGGCCUUCGGGUUGUAAACCGCUUUCGCCUGUGACGAAGCGUGAGUGACGGUAAUGGGUAAAGAAGCACCGGCUAACUACGUG
rnacentral:rRNA from 1 species